GCGGAAGGCAAGCCGGAAUCCAGAGCGAAACCUGGGGGAGCGAGGGGCACCUUGAGCCAGGGAGUUAGGGGCUCAGGAGCUGUGAUGUGACUGCCCCCACCCCCAGGAAACUGACUCCCUUCCAGAGGAAAGUCACUGUCUCUCUCCAAGAGCCUCCCAUGGCUCAGGGGCUCUUGAGAGAUGCCUUCGUGGGUGAGUUUGAUUUUUGGAAACUGCCAGAGUGUUCUGGAGCUGGGUCUAGUGAAUGAAGUGGGUGACUAAGCUGAUUUAGGUCAUCUGUUAUUACGAACAAAAAAUGACCCCAGCAUAAUUACUAAAAAAACCAACCAACCAACAAACAAACAAAAAAACCAGCAGAUGUUCUUGUCUGACUUGUUAACUGGCUUCUAAGGGAUGAGUCAAAGAAGAACCUGCUAAAACACAAUGGAGGCUUUGGCAACUUGGGAGAACAAGGAUGCUUUUCCCAAGGGGACUACAUUGAAAAACCCACACUCGGAGCCACCAAGUUCUGAUGCAUUUGCUUGAAAACAAACAGCUCUCCCCAUGGCAGCACUGAACGGGAGUUCAGAGGAAGCACACACGGUGAGUGGAAGAAAUCAGACGGCAGAAAGGGAACGCUGGCUGCUCAGAGAAGGGAAUGAUCCAGAAGUGAUGUCAGGAUCUUGUAGAGCCUGGGGUGUUGUUUAGACUCCCAGGGACUGUAUCUCCCUUGGGUAGCAGGAGAGUGAUCAACCCACAGACACAGUGGGCUGGUGGCCCCUCCCAGAUGUCAGAGUCCCUGUCUCCAGGUUUUCAAUCCCACAAGUCUUUAAAAGAGAAAUGCGUGGUGUGGGGAUAAGAUGACAGGCCUUGGAGACCCAUGGAGUCCUGGCUUUACUGUUUGUUGUAUGAAUUUGGGAGCAUCUUACUUUCUGAAGCUCAGUUUCCCCAUCUGUAGAGUGGGGGUGACACCUGCUUCUCUCCUAUUAUCUACUUCCCUCUCAGGAGAUAGAGAGUUCUGGCCUCCUGCAAAAAAUCAUAGCUCCUUAUUUCCUUUUGGCCUGCCCCAGGCGGGUGAAAUGUCUGAGCCACAAAGAUCCCAAUGGCAUUAUGAGUAGCCUGGCUACCUGGCCAGGGAGGUGACAAAAAACAUGAACAAAGAGGUCCAAGGCCAACUUCGCCCACAUCAUUGUCUCACUGAGGUGAGACUGUGUCCACCUCUUGCCGCCCCUUAUUUGCCCCACCUUCAGGGUUUCCUGCCACUGAAAGGCCUGCUCUGCAGAACUCCUGGGGCUGGGUUCCUCCCUGACUCACCACCCCCCACCUCUCCAGGUGCCCCAGAGCAAGUGCAGGCCCCUCUCUGGGACUCAUUUCCUCAGAAUCACGAGGCGUAGGGAAACUGGAUGAUGCCAGGAGAGUGAGAUUCUGGCCCCCUCCUUCCUGGCUGUCUCUGACAGGGUCACUUCCCAGCUGCCCUGAAAGUCCCUGGAGGACAGGGCAUGCACUGUGAGCUUUCCAGGGAGCAGCCUGCCCCACCCCUGUGCUGGCCCCAGCCCCCAUCCACUGCUUCCACUGCCGGAUGGGUGCCAUUCACUUGGCUCCAGGAAAGCCCUCAGUAGGAAGCUUGUGAAAAUACUAGAACAGAAGUCAGUCCCUCCCUCCCGCUACUUAGCUUUUCUUUCCUUCGUCUGUCUGUCCCACCCCCUCUCUGUGACUCUCCCCUCCCCUUCAUCUCUCUGGCCCUCCCUUCUCUCUUCUCUUGCCCCAGACACAGAACCCAGAAGAGCCAGCAGGAACAGACAGACAGUGAGAGCUACAGCCUGGGAGACGGCAAAUCCGCCCGGCUGGGAGGAACGCGGUCAGGCUCUGGCCCCAGACUUCGCGCGAAGGCAGCUUCCGCAAGCUUCUCCCGGGCGCCCUCUUGCGGACCGGCCUUGAGACCGUAAGGGCGGCUCCCCAGGGCGGGGUCAGGCCCCGUCCCGCCCCCGUCCCGCCCCCG
rnacentral:lncRNA from 1 species